GGCUCGUUGGUCUAGGGGUAUGAUUCUCGCUUUCGGUGCGAGAGGUCCCGGUUUCAAAUCCCGGACGAGCCC
rnacentral:tRNA from 1 species